rnacentral:rRNA from 1 species
AGAGUUUGAUCAUGGCUCAGGAUGAACGCUAGCGGCAGGCUUAACACAUGCAAGUCGGAGGGGCAGCGGGGUGUAGCAAUACACUGCCGGCGACCGGCGCACGGGUGCGUAACGCGUAUGCAACCUACCCAUAACAGGGGCAUAACACUGAGAAAUUGGUAACUAAUUCCCCAUAACAUUCGAAGAGGCAUCUCUUUGGGUUGAAAACUCCGGUGGUUAUGGAUGGGCAUGCGUUGUAUUAGCUUA